CGGCCGCAGUAUCCUAACCGCGCGAAGGUAGCAUAAUCACUUGUUCUUUAAAUGGGGACUUGUAUCAACGGCAUCACGAGGGUUUUACUGUCUCCUCUUUUAAAUCAGUGAAAUUGAUCUUCCCGUGAAGAAGCGGGAAUACCCCUAUAAGACGAGAAGACCCCAUGGAGCUUUAAACCAAAUAGCAACUUAACUAUAAACCCCCUCAUAGUUCCAUAAAGCCAUGCUAUAAGGUUUUUGGUUGGGGUGACCGCGGAGUAAAAUGUAUCCUCCACGACGGAAAGGCCACAAUCUUUAUUUAUGAACCACAAUUCUAAAAACUAGCACACUAACGUACACUGACCCGAUAAUCGAUCAACGGACCAAGUUACCCUGGGGAUAACAGCGCAAUCUACUUCGAGAGCCCAUAUCGACAAGUAGGCUUACGACCUCGAUGUUGGAUCAGGGUAUCCCAGUGGUGCAGCCGCUACUGAAGGUUCGUUU
rnacentral:rRNA from 1 species